AGCCGUUCCUCCAGAUAUUCAUCUGAACGAGACAGGAGCCGGAGCAGAUCAUACUCCCCUUACUAUGGCCGUGGGCGGAGGUCAUACUCACGAUCUCACUCACCAUACAGCAGAUCACCUGUUGGCAGGCGGAACGGCUCCUACUCUCCUUAUGACAACAGGUAUUACUCACCAGAUGUUGGCUAUUAUAGAAGGCGGCAUUACCGAUCCAUCUCCCGCAGCCUUUCCCCACGUGAAAGGAGGCGGUUAAGGAGUUAUUCCCCACGUGAAAGGAGGCGCUUAAGGAGUUAUUCCCCAAGUGUCUCCCCCAGGCCAAGGAGGAGUUCAAGGAGGAGUUCCUCUCGCAGCAUUUCGCCAAGGCCAAGGAGAACGUCUAGGAGGAGCUAUUCUCGCAGCAUUUCACCUCGACCUAGGAGAUUGAAAAGGAGCCCAUACCGAGAAGCUUACUCAGGCAGCAGCGGAAGCGCCAGUUCCAGAUCGGUAUCAAGG
rnacentral:lncRNA from 1 species